rnacentral:rRNA from 1 species
CCGCAUCAUAGAAAAACGAGUAAUAUUUUUGUCGAUUAUUGUUCCGAAUCCGUUUUAGAUGUGAACGCAAAACCGCAAAAUGAUCAUCAAAGUGUUAGUUAGUAAGUUAUCAGAUUGUUAGUAGAUAUCAUACUUCUGUUUUUUUAGUCUAAUGUGUCCCGACGGUUCAAGUGGGGCUUCGAACGUACUGGUGGAAGGCUCAUGCUGCCCGUCUUCGGCUACGCCGGUCGCCACCGGCCACCUCGCUCCGCCAAUUGUGCGGGGGACUAACCCGGAAGGGGGGCGUGCAGAUCUCGUAUAGCAGGUCUCGAGCGACCUCGUCUCCAGCUGGAACGGCCUCGUCUCGACGACCGGCGCGGGCUUAAGCAGGACUCUUUUCCUAGAGCGACCGGCGACGACCUCCCUCAAGUGCGCUGCCUCCCUCUCCUCCUCCGGUGCGGCCUCACUCCACCACGGCCUACCUCCUCCGGCACGACGAACGACCUCACUCCUCCGCGACCUCCCUCCUCCGGCGUGGCGGGCACUACGAGCGGCCUCACUCCUCCGUGGCUUCCCUGCUCCGACGCGAGGAGUGGCCGAGCGCGGCGCGGCGGGCGUGACGAGCGGCCUCACUCCUCCGCGGACUCCCUACUCUGGCGCGACGACGAGUGGCCGGGCACGGCGCGGCGGGCGCGACGAGCGGCUUCAUCCUCCGCGGCCUCCCACCUCAGUAGUCUCCCUCCUCCGUCGCGGCGCGACGAGUGGCCGGGCACGGCACGGCGGGUGCGACGAGCGGCCUCACUCCUCCGCGGCCUCCCUCCUCAGCAGUCUCCCUCCUCCGGCGUGGCGCGACGAGCGGCCUCACUCCUCCGCGGCCUCCCUCCUCAGCAGUCUCCCUCCUCCGGCGCAGCGCGACGAGCGGCCUCACUCCUCCGCAGCCUCCCUCCUCCGCGAUCUCGAACGACCGGCCACGGCACGGCGGGCGCAGAGGAAGAGAGGAGCGGACGCGGCGAACUAGAACGGCGACAUCACACGGGCAUUCUCUCUCUCUACCCAUGCAC